rnacentral:sRNA from 1 species
AUAUAGCUCGUGUCGUGUGGGUGAGAACCUGCGCUCAGGUUCGAGCCGAGCGAAGCGAGACAGCAACGCGUUAGCGUUGACCCCGCAGGGGCGAGGCCGAAGGCCGAGUCAUCCUGCACGACCCACCA